ACUUACCUAUUCUGACCUGGACCCUUUUUUAUCUGAGCGUCAAUUUGCGACUUUUUAACUUCUAUAAUAAUCGGUGUAUGUGGUUUAAAUGCUGGAAUGAAGCUCUUUUUUCUACUUAUGAACUAGUUUUGUAAUUAUAAUGUCAUAAGCUAAAUUCAAAUUAUGUCAUAAACAUUCCCUUAUUUUGGCCAAACCUUCCAGAGAUCAGUACUCACAUGAGUCUCACAUGCAUUUAUCAACCUUGCUAGCACAAAAUCAGCAACUUUUGGGUCAAAGUUUUCAUCGAGUAAACUGUUGCUCGCUAUGAUAUCCCUAUGAAUAAUAUGGGGAAUGAACCCGUGAUGCAAAAAAUCUCAACCACGGGCUGCACCCACUGCAAUCUUGAACCUUUUAGCCCAUGUAAAGAUUUUCAUGUCUUCGGUUCACAUUCGUAGCCAAUGAUCCAAACUUCCGUUUUCCAUAAAGUCACCAAACAAGCAGUUUCUCUUCAUCAAAUGAGCAGUAACCAAGCAAAUACACUCUGCUAAUGUCUCCAUUUCAGCUAAAAACUGCCCUGCGAUUUUGAUUGGUUCAUUUUUUUUAUUACUACUGUCUUUCCAUUUGGUAACUGGGCUUUGUAGACAGUACCAAUCCACCAUCAGCAACAAUUUCAGACUUGCAGAAGUUGUUGGUGGCUUAAAGAAUGUCUGCGAUAGUCAACCGGGCUAGGGGUUGUUCAAACAUUGCUACGUUAAUACCCAAUGAUUCUUUUGACCUGCUGCUACUUAAAAGAUACAAAUUUUGAUCAACGGAAGUGCUGUUACUUGCACCAGGAUCUUCACAGUCAGACUUUUUCUUGAGUAUAUGAAUCUGUUGUAUUGCCAUAAAUGUUAUAAAAAUGGUGAUCAAUAAGGUCACAACGGCAAUUGAAGCCAGUGACCAUAAAAUAAAGAGCUUUCGCCCACUUUGAAAGCUUGUUUGGGUUUGGGUAAUAAUAGAAGCCACCAUUAUACUGUCAACAAUCGCUGAAAUUUGUGAUUUCAGUAACUUAAUGCAUCAAAUUGUUACUAAAUACUUUAAUUGUGACAUUAAUGUUUGAAUUUGUUACAAUAAUGCUCAAUUUUAUAACUUUACAUACAUGCUGUCUUACCUUUUCUUUUUUUCCCUUUCUUAUAAUAAGAAGUAAGAACAAUCUUUAGGGGUAUACAAAAACUUUUCUCAUGGGACAUUUAAACAAUAAAGUCUAAUUUGUUUCUCAACGGUUCUUUGUAGAAACCUUAGCAUUGAAAAACGCAAACCGAGGCGUGUUAUCGAGCAUGCGUAUCUUGUCCCGGAAGAAAUAGAAAUGAUGAGGGAGGAUCUGGACCCAAGAGGUGUGAAGAUGCAUCAUCCGCUUCAUACUUAGCGUCAAUUUGACUGUGCUUUUCUAUGCAAUGUGCAAUUGGACUAGUGAUUUUAUGUUUUUUCUACGUUUCAGUAGGUUAGUUGGUGCAACAAGUUUUAUGCAUAUUUAAUAGAUUUGUUGUUAUGUAAACAGUUUUAUUCUGUA